UACGGGAGGGCAGCAGUGGGGAAUAUUGCACAAUGGGCGCAAGCCUGAUGCAGCCAUGCCGCGUGUAUGAAGAAGGCCCUUCGGGUUGUAAAGUACUUUCAGUCGUGAGGAAGGUGUUAAGGUUAAUAACCUUAGCAAUUGACGUUAGCGACAGAAGAAGCACCGGCUAACUCCGUGCCAGCAGCCGCGGUAAUACGGAGGGUGCGAGCGUUAAUCGGAAUUACUGGGCGUAAAGGGCACGCAGGCGGUUAAUUAAGUUGGAUGUGAAAUCCCCGGGCUUAACCUGGGAAUGGCAUUCAAGACUGGUUAGCUAGAGUCUUGUAGAGGGGGUAGAAUUCCAUGUGUAGCGGUGAAAUGCGUAGAGAUGUGGAGGAAUACCGGUGGCGAAGGCGGCCCCUGGACAAAGACUGACGCUCAUGUGCGAAAGCGUGGGGAGCAAACAGGGAUUAGAUACC
rnacentral:rRNA from 1 species